GACGAACGCUGGCGGCGUGCUUAACACAUGCCAGUCGAACGGAAAGGCCCUGCUUUUGUGGGGUGCUCGAGUGGCGAACGGGUGAGUAACACGUGAGUAACCUGCCCUUGACUUUGGGAUAACUUCAGGAAACUGGGGCUAAUACCGGAUAGGAGUUCCUGCUGCAUGGUGGGGGUUGGAAAGUUUCGGCGGUUGGGGAUGGACUCGCGGCUUAUCAGCUUGUUGGUGGGGUAGUGGCUUACCAAGGCUUUGACGGGUAGCCGGCCUGAGAGGGUGACCGGCCACAUUGGGACUGAGAUACGGCCCAGACUCCUACGGGAGGCAGCAGUGGGGAAUAUUGCACAAUGGGCGGAAGCCUGAUGCAGCAACGCCGCGUGCGGGAUGACGGCCUUCGGGUUGUAAACCGCUUUCGCCUGUGACGAAGCGUGAGUGACGGUAAUGGGGAAAGAAGCACCGGCGAACUACGU
rnacentral:rRNA from 1 species